rnacentral:rRNA from 1 species
UACGAAGGGGGCUAGCGUUGCUCGGAAUCACUGGGCGUAAAGGGUGCGUAGGCGGGUCUUUAAGUCGGAGGGUGAAAUCCUGGAGCUCAACUCCAGAACUGCCUUUGAUACUGAGGAUCUUGAGUUCGGGAGAGGUGAGUGGAACUGCGAGUGUAGAGGUGAAAUUCGUAGAUAUUCGCAAGAACACCAGUGGCGAAGGCGGCUCACUGGGACCGAUACUGACGCUGAGGCAGAAGCGACGGGAGGCAAACAGGGAUUAGAAUCGACCCUGUC